GAUGAACGCUGGCGGCGUGCCUAAUACAUGCAAGUCGAGCGAACGGACGAGAAGCUUGCUUUUCUGAUGUUAGCGGCGGACGGGUGAGUAACACGUGGAUAACCUACCUAUAAGACUGGGAUAACUUCGGGAAACCGGAGCUAAUACCGGAUAAUAUUUUGAACCGCAUGGUUCAAAAGUGAAAGACGGUCUUGCUGUCACUUAUAGAUGGAUCCGCGCUGCAUUAGCUAGUUGGUAAGGUAACGGCUUACCAAGGCAACGAUGCAUAGCCGACCUGAGAGGGUGAGCGGCCACACUGGAACUGAGACGCGGUCCAGACUCCUACGGGAGGCAGCAGUAGGGAAUCUUCCGCAAUGGGCGAAAGCCUGACGGAGCAACGCCGCGUGAGUGAUGAAGGUCUUCGGAUCGUAAAACUCUGUUAUUAGGGAAGAACAUAUGUGUAAGUAACUGUGCACAUCUUGACGGUACCUAAUCAGAAAGCCACGGCUAACUACGUG
rnacentral:rRNA from 1 species